UUUUAGUUAAACCAAUUUAUUUUUAGGUAUAAAAUCACUCGUCGUGUAGGUUAAGGCGGCAGCUUCUCAAUUACAUUAGGGCAUCGCCUAGAUUAGGGCAUCGCCGCAACGAUCUAUGAUAAUCGUGUGUGUAUGUAUCUAGAGUGUAAAGUGCUGAAUCGUUUCGUGAUGCUAUCUGUUUCGAAGUCUAAAAACAGUAAACAAUGAAGAAGAUGCUCCAGAAAAACAAAACAAUGAUCUGCCUGAUUGGGUUGGCAAGGGAAAACAGUAGUUCUACCAAACCCGCCUCAAAGUGGACAACGAGAAAUGCCAACAUUAUCAUUCCGGAAUUCCCACUUUGCUUGAUAUUUGUCAGACAACAAAAAUUAUUUGUUACAUGUACAAACUUCAUACAGUAUAUGCAAAAUCGUGACAGUCAAUCUUUAUCUCUCUAACAAGCUUUAUAUGUCCAAUGUACUCUUUGUGUCCAGUGGUCAUGCAGCUGAUAUGAGGCAAAAGAACCCAAAGGCUGGCAACCCAUUUAAUGGAAUGUAUAUAAUACGUUUGUGUGAUGACAGAGGAUCGAUUCAGCACUUUGUAAAAAAAAUUCAUAGUUUACAUGCUACUCACUUGACGUAUAUGUAAUUAAUAUUAUUUUUAAAAUUUUAUACUAAAGAAUGUCAAAUCUUAUAUCUAUAUAAAGCAAAAUCUCGGGCGUCUUACGUGGCGCUCUUUACGCUCUUGAAUCAAAAUCCCUGCUCUCUGCACUUUUGAUUGUUGUUAGGAAUUAAUCAUCAUAUUGGUUUUUGUUGUCCAUCAUUGAUUAAAUAUUAAAAAUUUGAGAAUUUAACUUUAAAGGUGUUUUCUCUUAGCUUUUAAUCUGAAAACACUUGCAAUACCACUUGUACAAAAGAUAACCAAGAAGGUAAUUUGUUAUUAUGACUUAUAGUGCAAGGGAUGAUUUAGUUAAAAGUACUCCAAUGAUAAAGUUGCAACUAUAUCCGUGCUUGUGCCAGUUUAUCUGAAGUAGUCUGAUAUGUACGGAAUUGGAUUCACUGUAUAUGAUUCACUUCCUAUGAACUAUCCCACACUCUUGGUGUAGAAGGCAUCGGCAUUGUUAUUAUUAUUAGGAGUCGUAAACAGGGAUUGCAUUCAUCAUAUAUUAUACCCUAAAUUGAUAGAGCUGGGUGGAGUUUUGAAAGAAGGUGAGUCCUUAAAUAGUGAUAUAAUAUGCGGUGCUUUACUUUCUGAGUUUCAUAAUCUUGUCAGGUAAUAUUAUUCUUUAAGAAGCACCGUGAUUAGGAAAGAACGUAAGAUGUCAAAUAUGCCUCAGGUUCUUAUGGGAAACACCUACAGACUACAGUUCUUGGAUUAAUCAACUUGAUAGGAUAUUAUACAAUUCAAGAAGAAGAUGGAUGUCUAAAAAUAAAUUAGCUCAUAAGUCAAACAAUGUGGAAAUGAGGAAUGUUACAAUUUAUUUCAUGGACCAUAAUCAAAACUAAUCUAAUGUCCAUAUUUGAUGUAAAUAUUUUGUUACAGGCGAAAGCAUUGGAAGCAGCUAUGAAUGACAUUAAUAACUCAUUUGGAAAUGGAGCUGUAACAAUAUUAGGCAAUGCUGGUGGAUCUCUUGUUGACUCUUUUCCAAGUGGUUGUCUGACAUUGGACAUUGCAUUGGGUGUCGGCCUUCCUAGAGGAAAUAUUGUUGAGGUAUGUUUUCGUACACACUUUGAGGUAUUGUAAAACAAACUCAGUACAAUCUUUUUCACGUGAAGAUUAUCUUGUUUAAUAUCCGGGAUACGUAUGGCUCAGAGAUGGUGAAGUAAACAAUGAAGAUGAUGCUCCAAAAAGAUGGAAAGCAGUAACUAAGGCUGGCUAAUCUGCUACUUAUCUGCUAUUAAGAAGCUGCUGCUUGUCUACUUGGUUAUUUCGUUGAAGAUAAAACAACGCGACAUAUCAAGAACUUUUGAAAUUGCAAGAACUAAGUUAAAAGCUGGCAAUGUAGAUGAUUUUUUUCCAAGUAGUUGAACCUACCAAUGUAUUCCUUACCAUAUUGUCUUAUUCUUAUUUCUAUGUAACAUCAAUGCUCAAAAGACUUAAAAUCUAAGUUACUCAAGUAGUUUUUAUA